GGAAGGAUCAUUACCACACCUCUACUACCUUGCUUCUCUUUCGGGAGUCGCUUGGUUUGCUCCGUGAACUUAAACUUUUUUGGCAAUUUCAAAUCUUUUCAAUAGUGCGUUAAAACCACUCUUGAAAUCAUAAGAGAGAGCCCCAAACUUUUUUAUCCACUUCUCACGAAGUGCGAUGAAUCACAUCUUGAUCUAAACUAAUUGAACUCGGAAAACAUUAACUUGUUGGAUGAGAAUACGAAGUAACGUAUAAACACUUUCAGCAACGGAUGUCUUGGCUCCCACAACGAUGAAGAACGCAGCGAAAUGCGAUACGUAAUGCGAAUUGCAAAUCUAAGUGAGUCAAAUCAAAAAAAUUUUGAACGCAACUUGCACUUCCGGGAAGCCGGAAGUAUGUCUGUUGGAGUGUCUGUUCAUCCCCACAGAUAAACUUUACUGUUUAACUGAGUCUGCCGUUAAUCUUAUCCAUUAAUGAGCGUAGAUGAAAUACACAACCGAACUCGCCCCUGCUCUGUUGAGUGUGGACGGCGUGACGUAAUAUCAGAAAUGAUCAUACACCACGCUAACCAUAUUUAGCAUCAAAAGAGCCAUGGUGAGAAUCUGUUCGGACCUCCAAUCAGUCAAGAUUACCCACUGAAUUUAAGCAUAUAACUAAGCGGAGGAAAAGAAACUAACAAGGAUUCCCUCAGUAACGGCGAGUGAAGCGGGAACAGCUCAGACUGAAAAUCUUCGGAAUUGUAGUCUGGAGAAGCAAAGUCAACUCUAUCUUCUGGGUAAAGCCUGUUGGAAAACGGCACCGUGGAGGGUGAUAGUCCCGUCUAUACCUGGAAAGAUGAGUGUACGACUAGCUUUCAAUGAGUCGAGUUGCUUGGGAUUGCAGCUCUAAGCGGGUGGUAAAUUCCAUCUAAAGCUAAAUAUUGGUGGGAGACCGAUAGCGAACAAGUACCGUGAGGGAAAGAUGAAAAGAACUUUGAAAAGAGAGUUAAAGAGUACCUGAAAUUGCUGAAAUGGAACCGAUGGGAGGCAGUGUUGGCGAAUGGUCAUUCUUCGUAACCCGCUUGCGGGGUGCGCGUGAUGCUAUUCGUAAGUCAGGCUUCCUUUGAUGAGUGGGAGAGGUCCUAAACCUGUAUGGGUUGGGGGUGCCGUCACUUAUUAGAGGGACUUUGACGAAAUGCCUCUUAUCAACCCGUCUUGAAACACGGACCAAGGAGUCUAACAUGUGUGCGAGUGCUCGGGUUUAUCCCCCAGCGCGGAAUUAAUGUGAAGGCCUUCGGGCUGAGGUAGGAUGCUUCGGCUGCACUAUCGACCGACCAUGAUCCUUCGGGUGAAAGGUUUGAGUGUGAGCAUACAUGUUGGGACCCGAAAGAUGGUGAACUAUGCCUGAGUAGGGCGAAGCCAGGGGAAACUCUGGUGGAGGUCCGCAGCGAUUCUAACGUGCAAAUUGAUCGUCGAACUUGGGUAUAGGGGCGAAAGACUAAUCGAACCAUCUAGUAGCUGGUUCCUCC
rnacentral:misc_RNA from 1 species